GGGGAUGUAUUUAUUGUGAAAGGACUGGACUUACAAAACGCAACUGGAAAACUUUCAUAAAGGUACACUGGCCUCCUGUAGCAAACAUACUGUUUUGUAGUUGGUAGGCAUUUUCCCCCAUUAGGUCUUUGUUCAUGGAAUAGGCACUGGGCAGAGAAUCAGGAGUUAUGAGUUCAAGUCCUGGUUCUGCUGCUAUUAAUUGUGUGACCUAGGCUGCUAAAUUUAUUUUUCUGGGCGUUUAAUCAAAGCUACUACUCACCAGUGAGUCAGAAUGAGCAAGUAAGAUGUGUGGAAAUGUAGAGAUUCCUAAAGAUAGAGGACCAAAAGCCUGGACCUUUUUCAUCCCCCCCCCCAUUUUGCCCCAUUUUUCUCAGUGACAUCAUCUCAGCAUGAAGAACCCAACAGAACUGCACCUCUUUCAGUCUUCCUGCAUCAGAUUAUCGCCUCUCAGAUAUUUCCCUGAUUCCUGCUGGUGACUCCUACCACCAGUGAAAUCUCCCUGACAGCUCAUGGCACUCAGUGUAAAACUGAAGCCUUUAGCAGGACUCACACUUGGGAUUGUCGCCUGGGCUUUGUGCAAUCUUCAUAGAAACGCAUGUGCACUGCAGCAGGGCUGCUCAGCUCAGAUCUGGCUGGUGGCGGGAAGUGACAGUUGGGGCCAGGGAGGAGAUGCGAUCUAUGGGGAUUUCCCCUUUAAAAAUGUACAGCCAGAGCCUGCCGGAGCCAUUCAAUAUUCAUAAAUGGAACUCGGAGAUGGUGUUCCUGUUCUGCCAAGAGCAAUAGCUAUUUAUCAUGGCAAAUGACUGAAAGAGUUGUACGUACAAUGCUUUGCUCAGUGCUGUAAAUUACGGUAUACAGAAGAUUAAACUUAAGCCUAAUGCUACCCUUGAGCUUCAACAGCUGAGGCCUAUAAAUGGCUACCCGUUAAGAGGAGAAAAUCGCUUUCCCUGUUACUAUUUAAAAGUGUAUCUCUAUUAAAAGCUCGUCUUAAACAUAAAUUACUAGGAAGCCCCACCUGGCCUCAGGCAGGCUCUUCCUCCUGGUGCUGACUCACUGAGCUACAUCUGAAUGUCACAGGCUAAGGCCUGAGGCUUGACCUCUGGAGGGAAGGCAGUGGGAUGGAGGCAGAGGACUCCACAGAGUGCUGAGUAAACACUCGAUUUCAGCCAGUGGGAUCUGGCCUAGCAUGCGGCUAGAGAGGACUUAAUAAAGAAGUUCCAGAUCCUGAGCCCCAACCACAGUGGAGAGAAUGUUUCUUCUGUCCUGGGAAUGACCAAGGAGCCCUGCUAAAGCCCCAGUUUUCCAAGUUCAACUGUAUUCUCCAAGUCCCAGUGCACCCACAUGGCCCAGGGGAGGUGCUAGAAUACAGCGCCCCCUGAGUGAGGAUUUGCAUUCUCACAAGAACCCCCAGGGAAUCUACAGGUACAGCCGAGCAUGAGCAUUCAGGAACAGGUAAGCAGGCAUUGGCAGGGGGAAGGAGGCCUGUGAAGGUCCCGUGGACGUCAUGACAAAUCCAAUUGUGAAAACAGGCCGCUUAAUGUUGGUCCACAGGACUCACAGUUCAGUGAUGUCUAAUUCUACUUUGGAAGGAACUUGAGAGAUGGAUUUUUAUGAGAUGGGAGUAAAUAUAUCAUUAUGACCUUGAGAGAUGACCCAAAGCACCUCAGGGUGUAAAACAGAGAGAAUUAGAAAAAUGUUCAUGCCUUCAAAAUUAACCCAGGGGCCUCUAGACCUACUAGGUUAGUAAGCUGAGAAUGAAUUCCCAGUGACUUGUGCUAUGAUUUCAAUUCUUCAUUGUAAUUAGGUGGAUAAAGUAUGCAAAAGUCUUUGGGUUGUUUGUGGAGAUAGAGAUACUCCAUAGUGUUUUUUUUUUUAAAGCUGUAAUCUUAUUAGAAAACAUUUUGCAUAAUACAAUGUUGCAAUAAUUACAGAUUAAAUAGAUGGAAUUGUAAAAAUAAAACCUAUUGUGGCCAAGACAACAAAAGGCAAAAUAAGAAAAGGGUAAAAAAAAAAAAAGUUUGCCAACCUGAUGGAAGGUACCUAGGAGAAUAUAAAAAGCAAGGUAGGGCUGGGAUGUAGCUCAGUGGCAAAGCACUUGCCUAGCAAGAGCAACAU